rnacentral:rRNA from 1 species
AGUGAACGCUGGCGGUAGGCCUAACACAUGCAAGUCGAACGGCAGCACAGUAAGAGCUUGCUCUUACGGGUGGCGAGUGGCGGACGGGUGAGGAAUACAUCGGAAUCUACUUUUUCGUGGGGGAUAACGUAGGGAAACUUACGCUAAUACCGCAUACGACCUACGGGUGAAAGCAGUGGAUCUUCGGACCUUGCGCGAUUGAAUGAGCCGAUGUCGGAUUAGCUAGUUGGCGGGGUAAAGGCCCACCAAGGCGACGAUCCGUAGCUGGUCUGAGAGGAUGAUCAGCCACACUGGAACUGAGACACGGUCCAGACUCCUACGGGAGGCAGCAGUGGGGAAUAUUGGACAAUGGGCGCAAGCCUGACCCAGCCAUACCGCGUGGGUGAAGAAGGCCUUCGGGUCGUAAAGCCCUUUUGUUGGGAAAGAAAAGCAGCAGGUUAAUACCCCGCUGUCCUGACGGUACCCAAAGAAUAAGCACCGGCUAACUUCGUG